CAGGAUGUGACCUGCCAACUGGAAAAGGUUACAUCCUCCAUCAGGAUCUCCCAUCACCUGUGUGGAAUUCUCUUGGCAACAAUACAGACAUGCCUCGUGACAAAGAUGCUCCGCAGAGAUUACAGGGGUCCUGGAAGGCGGUGCUUCUGGUGGCUGAGAAAGGAAGAUGGUGAACUCUUGUUGAGAAAUGACUAAAUUUAGUCAC